rnacentral:rRNA from 1 species
GAUGAACGCUGGCGGCGUGCUUAACACAUGCAAGUCGAACGGAGCACUUUAUUUGAUUUCGUUCGGGCCUGUUGAUUUUGUGUCUGAAUGGCGGACGGGUGCGUACCGCGUGGGUAGGCUGACUUGAACAGGGGGGUGACAGUUGCAGACAGCUGCUCAUACCGCAUGGUGGCGCAGCAAAGCAUGCUGCAGUUUGAGAAGGUCCGGUGGGAUAAGAUGGAGCCGCGUUGGAUUAGGUAGUUGGUGAGGUAAACGCCUAGCAAGGCUACGAUCCAUAGCGGACCUGGGAGGGUGACCGGCCACAAUGGAACUGAGACACGGCCCAAACCCCGACGGGAGGGAGCAGAGUGGAAUAUUGCACAAUGGACGAAAGUCUGAUGCAGCGACGUGGCGUGAGCGAAGAAGUAUGUCGGUAUGUAAAGCUCUAUCAGCAGGGAAGAUAAUGACGGUACUGGACUAAGAAGCACCGGCUAAAUACGUG